GAAGAUCCGGCCCUCCGGACAUCAAGGACACCUACUCCCUCCUCGUUCUCAACAUCAGCUUCAGAACGACGGCAGAUGAUCUUUACCCUUUGUUUGACAAGUAUGGGAAGGUGGUGGAUGUAUUCAUCCCGAGGGAUCGGAGGACGGGAGAGUCGCGUGGAUUCGCUUUCGUGAGGUAUAAGUAUGCUGAGGAGGCGCAGAAGGCCGUGGAUAGGCUUGAUGGAAGGAGUGUUGAUGGUCGGAACAUUAUGGUUCAGUUUGCCAAGUAUGGCCCUAAUGCAGAGAGGAUUCAGAAAGGCAGAAUCGUGGAAGCAGUACCAAAAUCUAGGGGAAGGUCAAGGAGCCGUAGCCCUAGGCCUAGACAUAGAGAUGAUCAUCGAGAUAGGGAUCAUAGGAGACGGAGCCGCAGCCGAAGCAAAGGAAGGUAUGAGCGGGACAGGUACUAUGACAAGGAAAAGGACCAUUACCGUCGGAGCAGGAGUCGCAGUAUUAGUCCUGAUCGUGGAAGAGGUCGUGAUAGAAGAAGGUAUUCCGAUGAACGAAAGAGCAGGAGCCGCUCAUUUGACAGUGCAUCACCUUCUCGACGUAGCUACAGCCCUAAGAGAAGUGCAUCUCCACGUCGGACACCUUCUCGUGAUGCAAGUGAUGACAAAUACAGCAAUGGGAAAAAAUCUCCACGUUCUCAAAGUGCAUCACCCAAAGGUCGUGAUGACUCUCGAAGUCCUUCCCCACACAAUUCUGCUGAGCAGGAUUGAUGAAAAUAUGCAGCAGAUAAAGCCAAACCAGCAAUUGCAAGAUUUGUGGAAGUAAAACUAUGGUUUUGAUGGCAAUGGACUUUUUUCAAGUUCUGUUCGAGAGUGAGUAGCUGAUUAAUGGCUGAUUAGCAAGAUGCUUGCAAAUGGAUGCGGUCUUGCUGAUGAAGCUGUGUAGCUGCUGCUGAUUAUAAUUUUGAUGAUAUUGAUGGUGAAUGAUGAUGAUGAUGAUGAUGAUGAUGAUGAUUGAUGAUGUUCAUGAUGAUGAUUCAUGAGAUGAUGUUGGUGAUGGUGGGUGAUCACAUGAUCGGUGACCAUACAAAUUUUUUAUAGAACAAUGGUUGCGAUUGCUGAGACGAACUCCUAGUAAAUUUCUCUUGUUGUUGCUGUGGAGUUUGUGAUGAUCAUGUUGAUGAUAUUCUCUAUUGGCUGUUGGGAAGCUGUUGCUGUCCUUGUAGCUGCAGUGGUUUGAUCUGAGUGCUAGUCUUUACAUUGCUGUUGAUGUCCUGGUGCACUGUAGCUUUUCUCCUAUGCUUUCCUCCAUUGUUUUUGAAGCCGAAUCAACUUUCAUUAAUCUAUUGAAAUGCAGAAGUAUAGGUUUAGCAUGCAUUCCUGAGUUUUGUGGAUUCAUUUUUAUUCUGGCUGGCUGGCUGGCCUGCACUAAGCUUAGCUGUUGAGUACUUUUGUUGGUGAAAGCUGUGAAAAUGGAUUCCUCUGCUUGUGAUUAUAUGCAUGAAUAACCAUGUUGGGUUGUUGUUUAACCA